UCCUCGAUCUUAUCUCUCGAUCGUCUUCUCUUCCUCCUCUGAAUCUGGCCGUUGUAACAACCUUUAUCCACUUGAUCUCUCUUGGAUUGAAACGCAACGUUUCAAUUAUGAAUCCGACAGCAAUGGGCUUGAGACUUGGGCUUGAUCCUUUUGCAGGUUAUAGAAGAGACGGGCCGCGCAAAGAAGCCCACUCGGAGUUUGGCUGAACUAAACCCACAAUCUCCACCUUUCAGACAGAACACCAAAAUGUUGUCUCUCUCUUACGAAACCCUAGCCUUCGUGUCUAUCUCCCUUUCCUCUAAGGCGAUUCAUCGCCUCUGCUGUUCUGCGUCUCUUUCCGACGACUACUGCAGCGUCUACGAUGCUCCUCUAUCACCUGAGAACCCAUGUAUCAACAGAACCCAACACACCUCCUGAUCAGAACACUCUGCAUGACCGAGAAGAUGAACCGACGAACCUCGACUGAUUCUGCAUGUACCAGAUCUGAACCAGAACUCAUGAAAACCAACCUUCUCACAUCAAAGCUUCAACCUUUCCUUCAUAAAAAAAAUAAGUCUUCUUCGACUCUUCUCUUUUCUGAUGAAACUCUGAAACUUUUCUGAUGAGCUGAAGUUGACUUUAGAAAACCCUUUCUGACUCUGAUCUCUCUUUGUUUCCGGAAAUCCGAAGAGACUCCACCUGAAACUGAACAACCCAGAGAACUCCACCUCGCUUCCAAUACUCGGGUAACGAAUUCUUCUUUGAUCUUCAAGUUGGUUUGAGAACCGUAAAAUUUGAUAACAUUCAAUGAUUUGUAUAUGUUAUCUAACCUCACUUUCUCCUUUUGUUUUGCGAGGUAACCAACAACGGAGACACAUUGCUACCCGAAGCCGCUUCUGCUUCAGAACAGGUUCACCAACUCCGAACAAAGUCUGAACUUCGGACCAGGUUUGCGAUCGAAGAAAGCAAUCAAAGAAUAACACAAGAGUUUUGUUCACCCGGUGUUCGCUGAUCUACUCACCGGGGAGGGAACGACAUCCCUCAAAUGCUUCACUAUCAGAUCUUUGAUCAAGGUUACAAGCUCAACAACAAUGGCGUAUCAACACCAAAACAGAGCAAUACAAGAGAGAGUUUAGCGAGCUUAUCACUUCCUCUAUGAAGCCGGAAAGUCGCCGCCGGAAUGAUCCAGACUGAUCGUAUACCGCUUUCGUAACUCCGUCGAACUUCAACCUCGUGAUCUCGAGCUAAUUCGUCUUCUCUCUUCCUCGAUCUUAUCUCUCGAUCGUCUUCUCUUCCUCCUCUGAAUCUGGCCGUUGUAACAACCUUUAUCCACUUGAUCUCUCUUGGAUUGAAACGCAACGUUUUAAUUAUGAAUCUGACAGCAAUGGGCUUGAG